rnacentral:ncRNA from 1 species
UAAUUUGAUGCAAAGCGAAGAACCUUACCAAGGCUUGACAUGCCGUGAAUCCUCUUGAAAUAGAGGGGUGCCCUUGGGAACGCAGACACAGGUGGUGCAUGGCUGUCAUCAGCUCGUGUCAUAAGGUGUUGGGUUAAGUCUCGCAAUGAGCGCAACCCUCGACCAGCUGUAAGAAGUGCCAGUUGGUUCUGAUUCUAAUAUAAUUCCCUGGCACGGUGACCUGGAGGGCCACACUUGAAGUAGAGCAUGUCAUUGGGACGGGGAGUAGGAGCUUGAGGUGGUGCAGCUUGAAGUCUUGUCUGCCUAGGUGG